UUAAAACCUUAGAGAUUUAACAUUUAAAAUUUUAAAACUAGAGUAAUCUAUAAAAAGAAUUCACUAACUUUCAACUAAUUAGGUGCCAGCAGUUGCGGUUAAACCUGAGAUUAACUAAUUACAUCUUUAGAUUAAAUUAUAUUGAUUUAUAGUAAUAUAAAUUAACAAAUUGUAAAUAAGUAAAAUUUUUAAAAUUUUAAAAAAUAUUAUAGAUAAUAAUUUAAAUUUCUGUUAAAAACUAGGAUUAGAUACCCUACUAUUAGAAUAAUAAUAACAAAAGUAGUAAAAGAAAAUCUUCAAACUUAAAAAAUUUGGCGGUAACUUAAUCUAACUAGAGGAAUCUGCUCUGUAAUUGACAGUCCACAAUUUGUUUGAUUUUAAUUAUAUAUUUAUAUAUCGCUGUUAAAUAUAAAUUUAUAAAUAAUAUUUUAAAUCUACUUAAACUCAUCAAAUCAAGUCAACACAUAAUUAUUAAAAACUGAAGUGGAUUACAUUUAAAUUAAGUUAAUAGAAUAAUUUAUCAAAGUUAAUUAAGAAAGAGAAUUUAGAAGUAAAUUAAAAAAAAAAUUUUUGUUAAAUAUGAUAUAAGUUAUGUACAAAUCGCCCGUCAUUCUUAAAUAAAUUAAGACAAGUCGUAACAAAGUAAAAUUACUGGAAAGUAAUAUUAGA
rnacentral:rRNA from 1 species